UACGGGGGGGGCAAGCGUUGUUCGGAAUUACUGGGCGUAAAGGGCUCGUAGGCGGCCAACUAAGUCGGAUGUGAAAUCCCCGGGCUUAACCUGGGAACUGCAUCCGAGACUGCAUGGCUAGAGUAUGGGAGAGGGAAGUGGAAUUUCAGGUGUAGCGGUGAAAUGCGUAGAUAUCUGAAGGAACAUCAGUGGCGAAAGCGACUUCCUGGACCAAUACUGACGCUCAUGUGCGAAAGCGUGGGGAGCAAACAGG
rnacentral:rRNA from 1 species